rnacentral:lncRNA from 1 species
CUCUUGUUGCCAAGGCUGGAGUGCAAUGGUGCAAUCUUGGUUCGCUACAACCUCCGCCUCUUGGAUGAGAAAAUUUAAAGAAGACAUGUAAUUUCUCCAAAGUCACCCAGCUCAGAAAUGCCCUGGCGGAGAAUGUGAAGAUGAGGCCAGAGGGAACAUUGAGAAGAAGGAUCUCAGAGAAGAAGGAAAAUUCAACAGAACCUAGGAAAUGCAACUGCUAUUGCCUGGGCCUUUGUUCCUGGAAUGGACUCUGCAUGAUGCAGCUUGGAGGACAUCUCCUCUGGGAUCCCUCCCCACUGCCCCCACCACUUCCUGGAGUGAAUGAGUCCUCUGUAGCCAUCAGGAUUCGCUGUAUCAGGAGUGUUCCUCUGCUGUCACCUCUGAUGACUAUUUUCCUCAAUUCAGAAUCCCCAGCACCUGCAAAAGGUCUGGAUCAAGAAGGGGCUGAGCAGGAACAGAGGAUUG